AGCAGCAGGAGGAGGAGGAGGGAGAGGAGACGCUGCCGCCGCUGUUACUGCCACUCCUCCUCCUCCUGUUUUGUAGCCUAAGGCGAAGUUGGGACUCCAAAGGUCGGGCACAAAUGAUCUCCGCCCUCGGGCUCUUUUGUCUGGAGAGAAGUACAGCAAAAGAACAAGGAGCUACCAUAGACUGAUGGGUCCAUCAAGUCUGGAGUGAUAUGAUCCAGUGUGACAUGAUUAAACUGGGGGGUAGGGAAGCCCGCCUUGUAAUCUGCCCUCCUGUCUUCCCUGUUCAAGAUACCACAGUUGUUCACAUUAACCAGAGACAAAACGGGUAGAGAAAAUUGACAGAGGUCAAGGAUGGACAAGCAAAAGUAAGAAUGGGCUGAAGGAAAAUCACAUGGAUGUGGACCUUCAAGCAAGAACUACCUCUCCUUCUCAGGUCCCAGGCUUGGGGUACAAACCUGGUGGUUAGAUGCACUGCUACAGUGGGAUUCUGGAAAGGCUUGUUCAGGAUUUACAACACACAGCUGAUGAUAAUUAUUUUCCCCUGAACAAUGAGGACUAAAGCUGCAAUUCUCAGGAUUCUAAAAGAGAGCCCACAGUCACCUAGGCUAAUCAGCCAACUAGACAUUUGAAUGUGAAUUAAUUUAAUCUUCAAAACUGUAACUAGA